GUGGGGAAUCUUAGACAAUGGGCGCAAGCCUGAUCUAGCCAUGCCGCGUGAGCGAUGAAGGCCUUAGGGUUGUAAAGCUCUUUCAGCUGGGAAGAUAAUGACGGUACCAGCAGAAGAAGCCCCGGCUAACUCCGUGCCAGCAGCCGCGGUAAUACGGAGGGGGCUAGCGUUGUUCGGAAUUACUGGGCGUAAAGCGCACGUAGGCGGAUCAGACAGUCAGAGGUGAAAUCCCAGGGCUCAACCUUGGAACUGCCUUUGAAACUCCUGAUCUUGAGGUCGAGAGAGGUGAGUGGAAUUCCGAGUGUAGAGGUGAAAUUCGUAGAUAUUCGGAGGAACACCAGUGGCGAAGGCGGCUCACUGGCUCGAUACUGACGCUGAGGUGCGAAAGCGUGGGGAGCAAACAGGAUUAGAAACCCUUGUAGUCC
rnacentral:rRNA from 1 species